GCCAGCAGCCAUGUAACCCUGCAACUCACAACUGGCAACCCACUGAAGCUAAGCAGGUGUGAGCCUGGUCAGCACCUGAAUGGGAGACCUCCUGGGAAAAACUAAGGUUGCUGCUGGAA
ensembl:rRNA 5S_rRNA 5S ribosomal RNA